GUCUAAAUUUAUACAUGAACUCAAAAACAAGCAAUGAUACUCAGGAUUCUCAGAGAACAACAACAACAACAACAACAAAAAACGGCCUAAAUCAAUAAGACUAACUGAAAAUGGGCUCAAUUUAUACCAACACAAACCGAUGAAAGGAACAAGAAACAGUUCAGUCAGGACCACUCUGUUUGAGUACGAUUAUUGUAGAGGUCCUGAACUUUCUAUUUGGUGGCUGUCACAGUUCAUAGAUGCAUCGGCCCCUUCUGGUCAUUCUUUGUACUACCAUUGAUGAGUUCAUGAGGUUCAGCUGGGGCUCUUCCAACCGUGUAAGUCUGCAGACUGCAAGACAGGGGCGUAACUUGAAGUUGUCCAAAUCACACAGAACCACGCGAGAUGUCAAAACGAUAAAUUGUUGGCCAAAUGUCCGCCUGUUGUGAGAGAGAAUGAUGCAGUAUAUCACAGAUAAAUGACAGAGGAGACGGACUCUUGUCUGGAUGUUACAGGAACAGAUGAGACACACGUGUAUUUAUCUGCUGAAGAGAGACUGAUGAAGGAAUGCUGCCAUCAAAGGAUUUGUGUAGUCGUGAUCAUGGAGAGCAGGCAAACAAAUGUUUGGAGCAGGCGCAGCAGCAGUCAGAUUGUCCCGCACGUGUUCCCCUGCUCUUGCUUCAAGGUUGUGUCGUUCAGAGAGCCAUCAUCAUGGUCUUCCUCAUCCUGUUUCUUAACGACAUCCCCGUGGAGAAGAGUGAGAUUGUGAAGCACAGAGCAGCAGCAGAACUGGCACAGCUGUACUGAGAUGGCUGGAGGAUGUUGGGUUGGGUUUUGUUGACUUGUAUAUGUAUGUAUUUAUUUUGAUGCUAACUUUUAUACAUUCUUUUAAUCAUUUAGACAUGUUUCUUGUUGUUGUCAGUAAAUAAAAUAUAAAUAUUUUAUCCAUUCAUGUAUUAAUUGCUUGACUGAAAAUGUAUUUAUUUACAUCGACUGCAUUUGUUCAGCUAGUGUAUAUUCAUGUAUAGCUAUGUCACGACAAAAAAUACAUUUAGCUUCUUUUACUAAAAUGUCAUUUUGAGAAAGAAAAAAAUUAUAUAAUUAUUGUUUGGCAUUUCUAGUUAUUCUUGCAUGUAAGUGUUGGGGUGGGCAAAAGAUGCAGUUUAUUAUGGGGUAAUAUUAAUUUUCGAGUGGUAAUACUUACAUUUUUAGAGUAUAAAAUCAACAGUUUUCUCCAAAGGGGAGAUCUUCAAGCAGCUGAUCAACGUGUGCAGAUAUUGCAGAGUCGCUGAGAGAAACUGUACUGGACUGUUGAGUUAGUGAUGCUGUGAGGUGGAAGUGCACGCACCUGUCCCUCUAUUUUUAUUAUUAUUGCCAAACACUACAUAAAAGAUCAUGGUAAGACGGAUGUUUCUAACAAUGAAUAAUCAUAAUGGCAUAAAACAGUAAAUACAAAUUUCAUGUGUUCAUCAUAGUAUGAGAUAAUAUACACGAAAAAGAAACAAAAAAAUUUUUUUAUGUGAAUUUUGCACAUAAAAUAGUUGACAAAAUAUUCAAGAGAUAAUGAUUUUGGUUUUUCGUAAUAAAAAAAAUGCUUUAAGGAUAAAAACUUGAUCUAUAUUUAGUGGAGUUUGAGUUAGUGAUGCUGUGAGGUGGAAGUGCACGCACCUGUCCCUCUAUUUUUAUUAUUAUUGCCAAACACUACAUAAAAGAUCAUGGUAAGACGGAUGUUUCUAACAAUGAAUAAUCAUAAUGGCAUAAAACAGUAAAUACAAAUUUCAUGUGUUCAUCAUAGUAUGAGAUAAUAUACACGAAAAAAAAACAAAAAAAUUUUUUUAUGUGAAUUUUGCACAUAAAAUAGUUGACAAAAUAUUCAAGAGAUAAUGAUUUUGGUUUUUCGUAAUAAAAAAAAUGCUUUAAGGAUAAAACUUGAUCAUAUUAGUGGAGUUAUAAAUAUAAAAACUUAAAUUAACAGUAUUGGCUAUACGACAAUCACAAAAUAAAAAGGCAGCCAUUUCUUCAACAAGACAACUACAUGGGCAAUUUUCUUCAUUAUCAAAAUACUUACAAAUAUAUUAAUUAAAUCUGUCACUCAUAUAUUUUAAGUUUUUUGCGCUUGUUUUAACUUUGUAGGUCACAUGAUCAACAUAGCGGAUGAUGAUAUCCAAAUCGCAUUCAUGCUUCAUACAUACAUACGCUUUUAGGCUGAAGAGUACUUACUCUUUUAGCUCUCAUUAAAUUAGUACUUAUUGAAAUUAAGUGCCUACUUAAAGGGUAUGCGGUUUUGAACACAGCCCCACAAAAUCUCGUUUUGACAUCUUGCGUGGUUCUGUGUGACAACUUCAAGUUACGCCUCUUUCGUUAAGUUAAGCCCCUUUCAAGUUACGCCCCUGUCUUGCAGUCUGCAGACAGACCCUUCUCGGCUCUUCAACUGCUCUAUAUUAGUCUCAGGCUGUGUUCAAAACUGCAUACUCAAUGAGUAGGUACUUAAUUUCAAUAAGUACUUACUUAACGAGUGCUAAAAGAGUACAUACUCUACAGCCAAAUCUCGUUAAAUAUGAAUGUGAUCCAGACUUCAUCCACCAUGUUGACGUUAUCAUGUGACCUAUGACGUUGUAACAAGCGUAACAACUUAAAAGAUACAGGCGACAGGUUUGAUUCAGUUUUAGAAAUGUAAAUAUUUUCUGUAUCUGUAAAUAUUUAAGACAAAUAUAGACAAAUGCAGCCAAAGUGAAUACAUCUUCAUUUUCAUUCAAGCAAUGAAUGCAGAAGUUAAUGAAAUAAUUAUUUUUUACUGACAAAGACAGGAAACAUGAACAAGUGAGCAAAAUAAUAAAUAAAAGUAAUAAUCGCAAUAAACAUACAUAUACAAGUCAGCACGAAGCUUUACUCAAACUUAUUGUUCUAACAAUUAUAUAUUUCCAGGCAGUGAAUCCACCUCCUGCUGACAUCUCAACACAGCUGAGACAGUUCUGCAGCUGACCACCGUGUCCACCUUCACCUGUCUCUGCCAUCCAACACGUGAUCAUGGAUGAGAGAGGGACAUCGAGGCUGUCCUUGCCUGAGUGCACAGAGAGGAUAAUGAAGACCAUGAUGAUGUCCCUAAACAAGAGCAGGAGAACAUGUGCGGGACAAUCUGGCUGCUGCUCUGUCUGCUCCAAACAUUUGUGUGCUGCUCUCCAUGGGCAGGACUAUCUGUGAAACAUUUAAAGAGAGUAAAACUUGAAACUUUGAAGCUUCUGAAUACCAGGCUUCUUUGACUGAUGUUGUAUGAACUGAAACCAGCAGAAAAAACUUAACCAAACUCACAUCCUCAGUGUCUUUUGGUCUUUCUCUAGAUGCUAUCACAAUGUCAUUUCAUUUCUGUAUUAGAAGUAACAAAAUUAUCUUUAUAUUUUUGUUUCAGGUUUUCCCCCUUUUUUCUCACAAAUGCUGCCGUCAUCUUUCCUUGCAGGUCCUUCUCCACCACAAAAGAUCUGCAGCAAAGGCACAGGAAUCAAGAAUAAGAAAAGUGCUGUAAUAGCUCUGUUUGAAAUUAUAAUCAUUAAAAUACAAUUUUGAAUUAAAAUAUGUUUUAUUGAUGUCUGUAGUAUACUCACUCACAGUCUUUGAUGGCAGCAUUCCUCCAUCAGUCUCUCUUCAGCAGAUAAACACACAUGUGUCUCAUGUGUCCCUGUAACAUCCAGACAAGAGUCCUUCUCCUCUGUGAUGUAUCUGUGAUAUACUGCAUCUGCAUGUUGAGGUAGUUCUCACUGUUUACCCAACACAAAUGUUCCUCAAUUUAUCAACAGUACUAAUAGAUGUAACACUAAUGAGCGGAUGGUAUUCAACCAUCUGUUUCAUAUUAAUGAAUCCUGACUCUCUAACACAUUCUGCACUCAGAGACAAGAACUUAAAAAAAAAAAAAGAGAUAAGGACUUUUGUUUUACAACAUCCUCCAACAUAACUCCCCACUCGGGCGCCGCGAUGUCGACAACAUCCCAGCCCUAGUGACAUUUAUUACACCUUCGAGAUGGUCCAGAGAUACUCUCGUGAGCCUCAAAGGAAAGACAAACACCCGCCUUUUUACUCACAGCACGACGACAUUACACAGACACACACACACACACACACACACACACACAAGUCUUUCGUGGCUCGCACAUACGGAUAUAAUGUUUACUGUGUGUUUAAUCAAACUUUAUAUGCCUGUAGUUAGGAACAACUCUGUAUCCCUGACUCACAAAGUUAUAGUUUAUGGUGUCUGUAUGAUCGUAGAAACCCAACUGUGACGAAUCUCAAAGGCAAAUUACAAAAAGAUGCAUUGUUUCAGAAGUACAAUCUUUCUGAGGAAAAAUGUGUAAUUUUGUCAUCGCCAUAAAUUAGACCAGUGGGCGGAAAUCAGCAGA
rnacentral:lncRNA from 1 species